rnacentral:tRNA from 1 species
GAAAUAUCUUUUAAGCUUCUAACUUAAUCCAAAGCCUAGUGUUUAUAUUUCU